UACGGAGGGUGCGAGCGUUAUCCGGAUUCACUGGGUUUAAAGGGUGCGUAGGUGGGAAUGUAAGUCAGUGGGGAAAUCUCUGAGCUUAACUCAGAAACUGCCAUUGAUACUAUGUUUCUUGAAUUUUCUGGAGGUCAGCGGAAUAUGUCAUGUAGCGGUGAAAUGCUUAGAUAUGACAUAGAACACCAAUUGCGAAGGCAGCUGGCUACAGGGAUAUUGACACUGAGGCACGAAAGCGUGGGGAUCAAACAGG
rnacentral:rRNA from 1 species